GGAGAGAUGGGUGAGUGGCUGAAACCAGCAGUUUGCUAAACUGCGAUACUCGCAAGGGUAUCGGGGGUUCGAAUCCCCCUCUCUCCG
rnacentral:tRNA from 1 species